GUCUGGCUUGAAGGUUUUGAUUUUGUAACAGGGGCUUCUUUCUUGGUCAGCCCCCUCUCAGUCCAUGGCGAUGUAAAACUUGCUUCACUGUGGACAGUGA